rnacentral:rRNA from 1 species
UUNAGUGGGGAAUAACUGUUGGAAACGACAGCUAAUACCGCAUAAUAUUGCUGGAUAAUUUCCAGUAAUGAAAGGAGCUUUCAAGCUCCGCUGAUUGAUGAGGAUGCGGCGCAUUGGCUAGUUGGUAGGGUAAUGGCCUACCAAGGCAAUGAUGCGUAGCCGAUCUGAGAGGAUGAACGGCCACAUUGGGACUGAGACACGGCCCAAACCUCUACGGAAGGCAGCAGUAGGGAAUUUUUCACAAUGGGCGAAAGCCUGAUGGAGCAAUGCCGCGUGACUGAUGAAGGUCUUCGGAUUGUAAAGGUCUGUUGUAAGGGAAGAAAUGGUAAAACAGGAAAUGGUUUUAUCUAUGACGGUACCUUACCAGAAAGCCACGGCUAACUAUGUGCCAGCAGCCGCGGUAAUACAUAGGUGGCAAGCGUUAUCCGGAUUUAUUGGGCGUAAAGGGUGCGUAGACGGUUUUGCAAGUCUGANGUUAAAUUUAGGAGCUCAACUCCUAAUCGCCUUGGAAACUACAAGACUAGAGUAUAGGAGAGGUUAGUGGAAUUCCAUGUGUAGCGGUGGAAUGUGUAGAUAUAUGGAGGAACACCAGUGGCGA